GUUGCUACUACUCAAAAGGCUAAAAUUGAAUAUAGUUUUCUGGGAUUGGUGGCAUUGGAUCAUGAAUUCUUUCAUAGAGCUUGAUAGCAGUUGCUUAGUUUCUUCGCUUAUGGCAUCAAUUUGAGACCUGCACAACUUAACUGUUUCAUGAAGCUGUGUUGGGCUUAAUUUAGUGUUAUUAAUUGUAGAAACUUUGAUUUU
rnacentral:misc_RNA from 1 species